GACGAACGCUGGCGGCGUGCUUAACACAUGCAAGUCGAACGGAAAGGCCCUGCUUUUGUGGGGUGCUCGAGUGGCGAACGGGUGAGUAACACGUGAGUAACCUGCCCUUGACUUUGGGAUAACUUCAGGAAACUGGGGCUAAUACCGGAUAGGAGCUCCUGCUGCAUGGUGGGGGUUGGAAAGUUUCGGCGGUUGGGGAUGGACUCGCGGCUUAUCAGCUUGUUGGUGGGGUAGUGGCUUACCAAGGCUUUGACGGGUAGCCGGCCUGAGAGGGUGGCCGGCCACAUUGGGACUGAGAUACGGGCCAGACUCCUACGGGAGGCAGCAGGGGGGAAUAUUGCACAAUGGGCGGAAGCCUGAUGCAGCAACGCCGCGUGCGGGAUGACGGCCUUCGGGUUGUAAACCGCUUUCGCCUGUGACGAAGCGUGAGUGACGGUAAUGGGUAAAGAAGCACCGGCUAACUACGUG
rnacentral:rRNA from 1 species